GAAAUUCAAGGGAAUACAACAAAAUUGAUAACAUAAUGGAUAUAUAAUAAAAACGAAUCUGGUGUGAAGGUUUUUAAUCUAACGUGGGCACGCCCAUAUGAAGAGCAGAGGGAGGGUUAUUGAAUUAAAAUGGAUAACAUAAAGAGAUAUACCUUAAAAAAAUAUUGACACUUUGCACCAUAGUUGGAAAGAAGAUUCUGCAACCAAGGCUUUGUUUCGGUACCAU
rnacentral:lncRNA from 1 species